rnacentral:rRNA from 1 species
AUUGAACGCUGGCGGCAUGCCUUACACAUGCAAGUCGAACGGAAACAGGUCUUCGGAUGCUGACGAGUGGCGAACGGGUGAGUAAUACAUCAGAACGUGCCUAGUAGUGGGGGAUAACUACUCGAAAGAGUGGCUAAUACCGCAUGAGAUCUACGGAUGAAAGCAGGGGAUCGCAAGACCUUGUGCUACUAGAGCGGCCGAUGGCAGAUUAGGUAGUUGGUGGGAUAAAAGCUUACCAAGCCGACGAUCUGUAGCUGGUCUGAGAGGACGAUCAGCCACACUGGGACUGAGACACGGCCCAGACUCCUACGGGAGGCAGCAGUGGGGAAUUUUGGACAAUGGGCGCAAGCCUGAUCCAGCAAUGCCGCGUGCAGGAUGAAGGCCUUCGGGUUGUAAACUGCUUUUGUACGGAACGAAAAGCCCCGGGUUAAUACCCUGGGGUCAUGACGGUACCGUAAGAAUAAGCACCGGCUAACUACGUGCCAGCCGCCGCGGUAA